rnacentral:rRNA from 1 species
UGGGGAAUAUUGGACAAUGGGCGCAAGCCUGAUCCAGCAAUGCCGCGUGAGUGAUGAAGGCCUUAGGGUUGUAAAGCUCUUUCGCACGCGACGAUGAUGACGGUAGCGUGAGAAGAAGCCCCGGCUAACUUCGUGCCAGCAGCCGCGGUAAUACGAAGGGGGCUAGCGUUGUUCGGAAUUACUGGGCGUAAAGGGCGCGUAGGCGGCCUGUUUAGUCAGAAGUGAAAGCCCCGGGCUCAACCUGGGAAUAGCUUUUGAUACUGGCAGGCUUGAGUUCCGGAGAGGAUGGUGGAAUUCCCAGUGUAGAGGUGAAAUUCGUAGAUAUUGGGAAGAACACCGGUGGCGAAGGCGGCCAUCUGGACGGACACUGACGCUGAGGCGCGAAAGCGUGGGGAGCAAACAGGAUUAGAUACCCUGGUAGUCCACGCCGUAAGCGAUGAAUGCUAGACGUCGGGGUGCAUGCACUUCGGUGUCGCCGCUAACGCAUUAAGCAUUCCGCCUGGGG